UACGUAGGGUGCAAGCGUUAAUCGGAAUUACUGGGCGUAAAGCGUGCGCAGGCGGUUGUGCAAGACAGAUGUGAAAUCCCCGGGCUCAACCUGGGAACUGCAUUUGUGACUGCACAGCUAGAGUACGGUAGAGGGGGAUGGAAUUCCGCGUGUAGCAGUGGAAUGCGUAGAUAUGCGGAGGAACACCGAUGGCGAAGGCAAUCCCCUGGACCUGUACUGACGCUCAUGCACGACAGCGUGGGGAGCAAACAGG
rnacentral:rRNA from 1 species